GCCUGGGUGGCUCAGUCGGUUGAGCGUCCGACUUCCACUCAGGUCACGAUCUCGCAGUCCGUGAGUUCGAGCCCCGCAUCGGGCU
rnacentral:tRNA from 1 species